UGGGGAAUUUUGGACAAUGGGCGAAAGCCUGAUCCAGCAAUGCCGCGUGUGUGAAGAAGGCCUUCGGGUUGUAAAGCACUUUUUGUCCGGAAAGAAAUCCUCUGGGGUUAAUACCUCGGGGGGAUGACGGUACCGGAAGAAUAAGCACCGGCUAACUACGUGCCAGCAGCCGCGGUAAUACGUAGGGUGCAAGCGUUAAUCGGAAUUACUGGGCGUAAAGCGUGCGCAGGCGGUUUUGUAAGACGGAUGUGAAAUCCCCGGGCUUAACCUGGGAACUGCAUUCGUGACUGCAAGGCUAGAGUAUGGCAGAGGGGGGUAGAAUUCCACGUGUAGCAGUGAAAUGCGUAGAGAUGUGGAGGAAUACCGAUGGCGAAGGCAGCCCCCUGGGCCAAAUACCUGACGCUCAUGCACGAAAGCGUGGGGGAGCAAAACAGGGAUUUAGAUACCCCUGGGUAGUCCACGCCCCUAAAACGAUGUCAACUAGUUGUUGGGGGAUUCAUUU
rnacentral:rRNA from 1 species